rnacentral:rRNA from 1 species
CCUACGGGAGGCAGCAGUGGGGAAUAUUGCACAAUGGGCGAAAGCCUGAUGCAGCAACGCCGCGUGAGGGACGAAGGCCUUCGGGUUGUAAACCUCUUUUAGUAGGGAAGAAGCGAAAGUGACGGUACCUGCAGAAAAAGCACCGGCUAACUACGUGCCAGCAGCCGCGGUAAUACGUAGGGUGCAAGCGUUGUCCGGAAUUAUUGGGCGUAAAGAGCUCGUAGGCGGUUUGUCGCGUCUGCUGUGAAAACUGAGGCUCAACCUCCAGCCUGCAGUGGGUACGGGCAGACUAGAGUGCGGUAGGGGAGGAUUGGAAUUCCUGGUGUAGCGGUGGAAUGCGCAGAUAUCAGGAGGAACACCGAUGGCGAAGGCAGAUCUCUGGGCCGGUAACUGACGCUGAGGAGCGAAAGCAUGGGGAGCGAACAGGAUUAGAUACCCUGGUAGUCCAUGCCGUAAACGUUGGGAACUAGAUGUAGGGGCCAUUCCACGGUUUCUGUGUCGCNGACGUACGACAUACGUUACCGUCCGUCGGNGGUACGGCGCGACGACGAACGUAACUAAUAGUUAGUUAGUAGCGUUGAGAGNGCGACGACGACGACGAGGAGGAGG